UAAUUGAAGAGUUUGAUCAUGGCUCAGAUUGAACGCUGGCGGCAGGCCUAACACAUGCAAGUCGAGCGGUAACAGGGGAAGCUUGCUUCUCGCUGACGAGCGGCGGACGGGUGAGUAAUGUAUGGGGAUCUGCCCGAUAGAGGGGGAUAACUACUGGAAACGGUAGCUAAUACCGCAUAAUCUCUCAGGAGCAAAGCAGGGGAACUUCGGUCCUUGCGCUAUCGGAUGAACCCAUAUGGGAUUAGCUAGUAGGUGAGGUAAUGGCUCACC
rnacentral:rRNA from 1 species